GAUGAACGCUGGCGGCGUGCCUAGUACAUGCAAGUCGAGCGAACAGACGAGGAGCUUGCUCCUCUGACGUUAGCGGCGGACGGGUGAGUAACACGUGGAUAACCUACCUAUAAGACUGGGAUAACCUCGGGAAACCGGAGCUAAUACCGGAUAAUAUAUUGAACCGCAUGGUUCAAUAGUGAAAGACGGUUUUGCUGUCACUUAUAGAUGGAUCCGCGCCGCAUUAGCUAGUUGGUAAGGUAACGGCUUACCAAGGCAACGAUGCGUAGCCGACCUGAGAGGGUGAUCGGCCACACUGGAACUGAGACACGGUCCAGACUCCUACGGGAGGCAGCAGUAGGGAAUCUUCCGCAAUGGGCGAAAGCUUGACGGAGCAACGCCGCGUGAGUGAUGAAGGUCUUCGGAUCGUAAAACUCUGUUAUUAGGGAAGAACAAAUGUGUAAGUAACUAUGCACGUCUUGACGGUACCUAAUCAGAAAGCCACGGCUAACUACGUG
rnacentral:rRNA from 1 species